rnacentral:lncRNA from 1 species
GGUGGCAGAGGCUGGCUGGAAUUACUGAGCCUGGGGAGGCUUUCUCAAUGCUCCUUGGCGGCAGCUGCGGCUCCCGGCUCCUGUUAUCAUCACUGCUUGAUGGUGAGUAGAUCGGGAUCUACGUCACACGG